AUCUAAAUAGUUUAAGUUAAAAUAUUAGUUUGUGGAAUUAAUGAUAUAUUUUAUAUUUUAGAUA
rnacentral:tRNA from 1 species